CUCUAGGCCCGGGGGCUGCGGAAUGCUGCUACCCGUUCGGAAGGCCAGUUUGGCGUUGUUGUCGCGUCGUCAGCGGCGUUCUACGGUGCGUAGACGGCUUCGUUUUCCAAGGCAGAAGCAUCUUCAACUGCCACUGGAUGGCACCAGGUGCUUCGAAGGCGUCAGCUUCCUCUCUGCUAUGGAGCUGAUGUACGCCACAUACUGUUAUCUCAACCUAAAGUACCCUGGUGAGCUGCCAGCAGCGUUGAAGUUCGUUUAGAGGCAACUUGUGGCAAUGAACCCACAGGAGGGCCCCGGCAGUCUUGAAGAAAAGUUGCUCUGGUGCGUCUGAAGGCGCAGGGAGCC